rnacentral:rRNA from 1 species
UACGAAGGGGGCGAGCGUUGUUCGGAUUUACUGGGCGUAAAGGGCGCGCAGGCGGUCUUUCAAGUCGGGUGUGAAAGCCCCGGGCUCAACCCGGGAACUGCACUCGAGACUGGAAGACUAGAGUUCGGGAGAGGAUGGUGGAAUUCCCAGUGUAGAGGUGAAAUUCGUAGAUAUUCGGAAGAACACCAGUGGCGAAGGCGGCUCACUGGACCGGCAUUGACGCUGAGGUGCGAAAGCGUGGGGAGCAAACAGG